GGGCCCGCACAAGCAGCGGAGCAUGUGGUUUAAUUCGAAGCAACGCGAAGAACCUUACCUAGACUUGACAUCUCCUGAAUAGCGUAGAGAUACGUGAAGCCCUUCGGGGCAGGAAGACAGGUGGUGCAUGGUUGUCGUCAGCUCGUGUCGUGAGAUGUUGGGUUAAGUCCCGCAACGAGCGCAACCCUUAUCAUUAGUUGCUACCAUUAAGUUGAGCACUCUAGUGAGACUGCCCGGGUUAACCGGGAGGAAGGCGGGGAUGACGUCAAAUCAUCAUGCCCCUUAUGUCUAGGGCUACACACGUGCUACAAUGGUGAGAACAACGAGAUGCAAUACCGCGAGGUGGAGCCAAACUUGAAAACUCAUCCCAGUUCGGAUUGUAGGCUGAAAUUCGCCUACAUGAAGUUGGAGUUGCUAGUAAUCGCGAAUCAGAAUGUCGCGGUGAAUACGUUCCCGGGCCUUGUACACACCGCCCCGUCACACCCUGAGAGCUGGUAACCCCCCGAAGUCCGUGAGGUACCCUUAUGGAGCCAGCGGCCGAAGGUGGGAUUAGUGAUUGGGGUGAAGUCGUAACCAAGGUAGCCGUAGGAGAACCUGCGGCUGGAUCAC
rnacentral:rRNA from 1 species